rnacentral:lncRNA from 1 species
CAAAAACCACCGGGGAAAGAGGAUCUCAGGUCUCCGACCUUUCUGCACUGGAAAGGCAGCACGGCGCAACGUGCUCCGCUCUGCUCGAAAUCCCAACGCCACAAGGUUUUCGGGUUAAGGAUGGACACCCCGAAUGCUCUCCACCGAGCUCCACCGGACUUGGGUACCCCGUGGCGUUCCCGUCCGCACUCCCGCCGUCCCAGUCCGAGCGCCACUGCUCUGAGAGGGGCCAGUGAGGGUCACUUACCGUCGCUCUCCGCCCUGACGAGCAGGGACAUGCCCUUCAGCCUCUCCACGUAGCCGGAGGACACAUGGCCAGUACCCCGGUCGUCCCACUGCCGGUCCUCGUUGAGCGUGUAGACCUUCACCCGCCGUCGGGUGUCGGUCAUCGUGCCGGCCGGGGGCCCCGCCCGAGUGGCCCAGGGACAGUGUCCAGAAAAGGCGGGCGGCCGCAAACGGGGAACUCCGGGACCUCAGUGCCACCGCUGGCCGCCGCGGAGCUGCGCCGCCGCUCGCAUGGCCCGCUCCCGGGUCCGAGCCCCGGGCCGCCGCCUUCUCUCGUCUCCUUCUCCCCGGCGCUAUUGUCCAGGCCGAGCGAGCGCGGCCGCCCAGCAGCCCCGACAGGGAACGCGCAGCACUACGCAGCCUACCGGCCCGCCGUUCCAACGAGGUGCGGCUCGGUUCACAGACCCGCUCCGGCCUCCACCAUGACCUCCGCAGAGCCGCUUUCCCGCGCCGCCGCCUCCUCAGGCCGCCGCCGCCAUGUUUUCCUCCCUUGUACCUGGCCCAGCCGCUGCAGCAGGAAGCCCCGCUCCGCUCCUCCCGCUUAAAGCAUCCGAAGCCGGUGAGGUAGCACUUCCCGGGAGACUCCGAACGCCUCUGGCCACCCGAGAACCCCUGGCUCUUCUUAGAAGCCGCCUUCCCUACUCCGCCGCCUCUUCCGUCUUCCUCACAGAGCCAAAGCCGCCGCCAUCUUGGCUCGCCCCUCAAAAGCGGCGCGCGGGGCCACCUAGGCAGUAGCGGCAGGGGCGGCCCGCAAGCCCCACCACUUAAAGCGACAAGACGGGAGCCGGCAGCUUCGCUCCGGCCGAGGCCUUGCACCGAGGCGGGCGCGGAGCUGCGGGGGUGGCGGGAGCGGAGGAGGCGGGACGCGAGUCGCGCCGGUGACGGACCGGGACUCCCUCGCGCUGCCCUGCGCGUACUGUCGUGCAAGCGCGGGCUGCGUGUGCGUCCGUCGCACUUUGAAUUCGUCAUCACCUCGGCUCCGGGCGGGGAAGGGGUGUGGAGUCUGUUGGCGGCUUCUGGAGCCAGACUGGACUCUGAUCCCGGAGCUCGUCCUUUCCCGUGCGAGCCUUCUCCGGACGCUUUAGGGAGGACCUUUGCAGUCGGCCCUGGGGGCGCGGGCUGCUGGCGUCCUCCUCGUCCUCCCCCCGCCCUCCUCCUCCUCCUCCUCUUCUUCCCUUGGCCUGAAAUAGAGAAGUUUCUGAGAGAGGACCGUUUGGACCGCGAGGUUGGCGGGAUGCAGUGAGGCACGCAAUGGCCGGGCUCACAAUGUUGCUCUGACUGGCUGAAGCAACGUAUGCGAGAAGCUGGGAUCUUUCUUAACCCACACCAGAGACAAGUGCUCGCAAAGACAUACCUGAAAUCAUUCACCAACAAAACUCGGAAGCAUGUAAAAACAAAGCAGUUGCUGUUUCUAAAUACCAGAAUGCAAUCCUUUCAAGCAUCUAGAUGGAGCCCAUGAGCUCCAAGCAGAGCAGGCCCCAAUAUCCCCACAGGGCAGUGACCUUAGCAGCUCCUCAACCAAAUGUUUUCUCUCAGAUGACACCAGGCUGUGUCAAUUUGACAAAGCAAAGCAGGGCACAUGGGAUCUGUUUAGUUAGAGGAAUGUGAAGCAAUCUUGCCUUCUCUCCCAGUGCACACAACCAACCCUAGAUUAUUUGCAGACCAGAAGUUCACCUGUGGGGCGAAAAGCAAAGUUCCAGAAGCAGACUGCAGCUUGGUGGCUCGCCACAUUUUGUUCUUUUUAUUCACAACUUUCUUGCCAUCAAGAGAUAACUUUUGCCGGACGGUGGUGGCGCACGCCUUUAGUCCCAGCACUCAGGAGGCAGAGGCAGGCAGAUUUCUGAGUUCGAGGCCAGCCUGGUCUAGAGAGUCUCAUUAUAUACCCCAGGCUAGUGACCUAACUUUGAACUGAUUCAGGCAACAGGAAACGCUAAACAAUUCACUCUUCAGAUCUAAAAACCUUAAUAUCUAAUCCCAGCACUUCAGAGAUGGAGGCAGGCAGAUCUGAAGUGCAAGGUCAUCUCUGGUUACAUAGAAAUGACACAACCUCGGGGUUCGACGUGUGAUAAGGUAUCCUGUAACUACUCUUUGUACCGCUGGGAUCUACCCUGCUUCACUGGAUGACAUGCAGCCUUUUCUCUUAGCAACUGCAUGAAUAAACAUCCAAGAGAACUUGUUUGUUUGGUUUAGUUUUUUGAGACAAGGUUUCUCUGUAUAGCCCUGGCUGCCCGGGAACUCACUCUGUAGACCAGGCUGGCCUCAAACUCAGAAAUCUGCCUGCCUCUGCCUCCUGAGGGCUGGGAUUAAAGGCGUGCGCCACCACACCCGGCGAUAACUUUUUUUUUUUAAAGAUUUAUUUUUAUGUGUAUCAGUUUGUCUGCGUGUAUGUAUGUGCACUAUGUGUAAGCCUGAUGCUCUUGGAGGCCAGAAGAGGAUGUUGGAUCACCUGUUAACUGUGAUUACAGGCAAUUGGGAACUGCAUGCGGAUGAUGAGAAGCAAGGCCUUGUCCUUUACAAGAGAAGCCUGUGGUUUAAACUGCUGAGCUGUCUUUCUAGUUCCAAAUACCUAAGAGGAGUCUAAAGUCCUUCUCAAAGGACCUUGAGAUAUCUUUUUUUGCUUGUUUUUUCAAGACAGGGUUUCUCUGUGUAGCCCUGGCUAUCCUGGAACUCACUCUGUAGACCAGGCUGGCCUCGAACUCAGAAAUCCGCCUGCCUCUGCCUCCUGAGGGCUGGGAUUAAAGGCGUGCGCCACCACUGCCUGGCCCUUGAGAUAUCUUAGUGAAUGAGGAAAGGCACUUAAACUGCUAAACCCAACCAAGUGAAUUUGAUCCUUGAAACUCACAUGAUGGAAGGAGAGAACCAAUCCCCUUACCUUGUUCUCUGACAGCUACACACCCCUCUCCCACAGAAAUAAAAUGUUA